rnacentral:rRNA from 1 species
CAAUAGCGUAUAUUAAAGUUGUUGCAGUUAGAACGCUCGUAGUCGGAUUUCGGGGCGGGCCGACCGGUCUGCCGAUGGGUAUGCACUGGUCGGCGCGUCCUUCCUUCCGGAGACCGUCCCUACUCUUAACUGAGCGGGGGCGGGAGACGGGACUUUUACUUUGAAAAAAUCAGAGUGUUUCAAGCAGGCAGCUCGCUCUUGCAUGGAUUAGCAUGGGAUAAUGAAAUAGGACUUUGGUGCUAUUUUGUUGGUUUCGAACACCGAAGUAAUGAUGAGAAGGGACAGUCAGGGGCACUCGUAUUCCGCCGAGAGAGGUGAAAUUCUCAGACCAGCGGAAGACGAACCACUGCGAAAGCAUUUGCCAGGGAUGUUUUCACUGAC